CAAGGGGAGGAAAGCGGCCGGUAACGGGGGUGGGGGUCCCCCCCCGGCCGGAUGCCCUGCGUGACUCGUGGGGUGCCUUCCCAGCCGGUCGCGGCGCUGCAGACUGACUAACGAGGCGUCGCCUCGCCUCACCAGCCCGGCUCGUUCCGGGCAAAGCUGGCUGGGCGGCCGGGUCGGAGGCGGCGCGCUCCCGCCGAGAACUCUCCGGGCCCCUUAAACUUUAUAGGCGCCGCUGGCUUCUUCCCGCCUUUGUGCUCCAGAAGCUGCCCCCGUGGGGUUGCCGUUUCUCCGGGGCAACCGAGCCCCGUUUCGGGGUGGGGUCGGGGAGCCAAGAGCGAGCGGCAAGUGCGCGCAGGAAGGUUACGACGAGCGGAGGGUUCACCCAGAGGAAUUCAAGGCUGGGUCAGAAAAUGGAACCAGAUCAUCCUGUUUCAGAACUAUCCACUGCAACAUAUUCAACACCACCAUUUAAUGGGAAUCCUCCAGUGAGCUUCAGAUUUUUGUUUGGUACUAAGUAACAAUGCUGCAGAAGUAGUAACUGUAAAUGGUUCUCUUGCAAAGCAUGUUAAUUCCCCAGAAAAAAAUAAAGUUUAUAUUGUGAUUGACGUA